GCCGAGAGUGCGAGCAGGAGCCUCCUCGCUGUAGAGCAGAGAGCGUCGGAACCCGCCAGGACCCCCGCAGGCAGGCGAGUGCCUAGGGUUUCUGGACUCUGAGCCAAGGGGGGUCCUGGGGAAAAGAAGGAAAUGGUUUCCAGGAAUACUGAUCCUGACUCACUUACCAAGGCAAUGGGCUUAUGGUAUUUGACCCUCAAUGUUCCUCCUGUGCUGCCUGCCAUUCUUCUUUGACUCCACGCCUUUCCGUGUAGAACUUGUGGCCUUUACUCUUUCAUACAUUAUUGUUUUGUUUGAAAAGCCCAGAGCAGCACAGUGCCAGGUUGCAAGGCUGAGAUGCAAUUCAAAAAAUAAUGUGUAAAUAAGAAAGCAGAGAACUUCAAAAAAACAGAAAGGUAGGUAGUGGAUGGAUAUUCACGCUGAGGACUCGCUUGGUGGCAUUGGCAGCCUGACAUUCUUCCGGAACGGGUUUUGAAGAAGAAGCAAGGAUUGCCAAGUAAUGUGAAGCAGGGCCCAGUUGUCAGUUGAACAGUGAGAAAUGGCUGCAGGUGUGACUUAUUGAAAGACUACCUUAGUUUCAAUGUUUAUCAACUGGCUGUCCUCCAGAACCUCAAUUUGGUGUCAUUUGGCAACAAGUCUGACCUAAAGCAAUACAGAUUUAUAAGUGACACCAACACUAAUAGCACAAUCAUUUUGUAGUGCUUUGGAAUUUGCAAAGCCUGUCAAAUCCAUUGUCUUAUUAGAUCUCUGCAAAUACCCUGUAACACGGGCAGGGUAGGUCUUAAUAUGCCUACUUCAGAGGUAGGAAACAGACCGAGAGAGCAUAUAUAUAUAUAUAUAUAUAUAACUAUAUAUAUAUUUAUAACUAUAUAUAUAUAACAAUAUAUAUAUUUAUAACAAUAUAUAUAUAACAAUAUAUAUAUAACUAUAUAUAUGUGUGUGUGUAUAUAUAUAUGUACAUAUAUAUAUAUAUAUAACACAAAAGGAACUGGGGCUGGAAUUUCUGUUUCC
ensembl:lncRNA